rnacentral:rRNA from 1 species
GACAGCCAGGAUGUUGGCUUAGAAGCAGCCAUCAUUUAAAGAAAGCGUAAUAGCUCACUGGUCGAGUCGGCCUGCGCGGAAGAUGUAACGGGGCUAAACCAUGCACCGAAGCUGCGGCAGCGACGCUUAUGCGUUGUUGGGUAGGGGAGCGUUCUGUAAGCCUGCGAAGGUGUGCUGUGAGGCAUGCUGGAGGUAUCAGAAGUGCGAAUGCUGACAUAAGUAACGAUAAAGCGGGUGAAAAGCCCGCUCGCCGGAAGACCAAGGGUUCCUGUCCAACGUUAAUCGGGGCAGGGUGAGUCGACCCCUAAGGCGAGGCCGAAAGGCGUAGUCGAUGGGAAACAGGUUAAUAUUCCUGUACUUGGUGUUACUGCGAAGGGGGGACGGAGAAGGCUAUGUUGGCCGGGCGACGGUUGUCCCGGUUUAAGCGUGUAGGCUGGUUUUCCAGGCAAAUCCGGAAAAUCAAGGCUGAGGCGUGAUGACGAGGCACUACGGUGCUGAAGCAACAAAUGCCCUGCUUCCAGGAAAAGCCUCUAAGCAUCAGGUAACAUCAAAUCGUACCCCAAACCGACACAGGUGGUCAGGUAGAGAAUACCAAGGCGCUUGAGAGAACUCGGGUGAAGGAACUAGGCAAAAUGGUGCCGUAACUUCGGGAGAAGGCACGCUGAUAUGUAGGUGAAGUCCCUUGCGGAUGGAGCUGAAAUCAGUCGAAGAUACCAGCUGGCUGCAACUGUUUAUUAAAAACACAGCACUGUGCAAACACGAAAGUGGACGUAUACGGUGUGACGCCUGCCCGGUGCCGGAAGGUUAAUUG